rnacentral:rRNA from 1 species
CCUACGGGGGGCAGCAGUGGGGAAUAUUGCUCAAUGGGCGAAAGCCUGACGCAGCGACGCCGCGUGAGGGAUGAAGGUCUUCGGAUCGUAAACCUCUGUCAGCAGGGAAGAACGGUCACUGUGCUAAUCAGCAGUGAAUUGACGGUACCUGCAAAGGAAGCACCGGCUAACUCCGUGCCAGCAGCCGCGGUAAUACGGAGGGUGCGAGCGUUAAUCGGAAUUACUGGGCGUAAAGCGCUCGUAGGCGGUAUGUCAAGUCAAGGGGGAAAUCCCCGCGCUCAACGUGGGAAGUGCCUUUGAAACUGGCAAACUGGAGUGUGUGAGAGGAUAGGGGAAUUCCAGGUGUAGGAGGGAAAUCCGUAGAUAUCUGGAGGAACAUCAGUGGCGAAGGCGACUAUCUGGCACAUAACUGACGCUGAGGAGCGAAAGCGUGGGUAGCAAACAGGAUUAGAUACCCGGGUAGUC